GGGAACAUACCCUUUUCUACGGAAUAGCUCUGGGAAACUGGAAUUAAUACCGUAUACGCCCUACGGGGGAAAGAUUUAUCGGGGAAGGAUUGGCCCGCGUUGGAUUAGCUAGUUGGUGGGGUAAAGGCCUACCAAGGCGACGAUCCAUAGCUGGUCUGAGAGGAUGAUCAGCCACAUUGGGACUGAGACACGGCCCAAACUCCUACGGGAGGCAGCAGUGGGGAAUAUUGGACAAUGGGCGCAAGCCUGAUCCAGCCAUGCCGCGUGAGUGAUGAAGGCUUUAGGGUUGUAAAGCUCUUUCACCGAUGAAGAUAAUGACGGUAGUCGGAGAAGAAGCCCCGGCUAACUUCGUGCCAGCAGCCGCGGUAAUACGAAGGGGGCUAGCGUUGUUCGGAAUUACUGGGCGUAAAGCGCACGUAGGCGGAUAUUUAAGUCAGGGGUGAAAUCCCAGAGCUCAACUCUGGAACUGCCUUUGAUACUGGGUAUCUUGAGUAUGGAAGAGGUAAGUGGAAUUGCGAGU
rnacentral:rRNA from 1 species